CACCUGCUACCACGCCUGGCUAUUUUUUGUAUUUUUAGUAGAGACAGGGUUUCACCAUGUUGGUCAGGCUGGUCUCAAACUCUUGACCUCAAGUGAUCUGCCCACCUCAGCUUCCCAAAGUGCUGGGAUUAUAGGCAUGAGCCACCAUGCCUGGCCCUCACUAGUUCUUUUAGAAUUCAGAAUUUAAUAUAAACAGUUAGGGAGACAGGUAUUGAAUGACUGAAAAGGCAAAAGUGGUCAUCGAGAUGACAGAGCAAUAUCCGGAGAGAGAGAGAGAGAUUCCUGUAGAAUACAAGACAAGACUAUCACAAUGAGCUGAAAUGUUGGGUCUGUGAAAGUAAUGAGAAGCACAGUGGAAAUAAGUUUCUGAAGGAUGGAAGAGGCUGGAGGCUGGCUAGUGGGAGAAGGUUCCCAGACACGUGAGAGACCCAGCAACAGAUUAAAAUCAUCCUUACCUGACAAGAGGACUCAGUGAAUCAAUGUUGUGCAGGAAGCAUGGCACCAGCGUCUGCUUUGGGUGAGGACCUCCAGCUGCUUCCACUCAUGGUGGAAGGCAAAGGAAAACUGGCUGUGCAGAGAUCAUAUGGAUGCAGCAGGAAGAUGUUGUCUAUGACGUCAGAGCCCUCACCAGACACUUAAUUUGAUGGCAACUUGAUCUUGGACUUCUCAGUCUCCAGAACUUGAUAAGAAGGAGAUUACUGCUGCCCACGGGGAAAAAGGAGAACAGAAAUGGGAAAGCCGUAUUGAGAGGAUGUUUGAGAACUGUGAAAGACAGAAAGCAGACCAGAUUGCCAUGCCUAAACCACUUUCUUUGAAGUUUAUGGAAGCACCACUGCAUUUAUGCCAGAAGGUGAAAGUCCAGAACAGGUGCUUUUUGGUUUGAGAAUGAGUGUUCUACAUACUGGCCUGUAAGGCAGUGCUACUCCAAGUGUGGUCCACAGGCUGGCAGCAACAUCAUAGGGGAGUAUGUUAACAAUGCUGAUUCUCCAGCCCCAGCUCCGGACUCUGUUUUAACGGUCUAUCCAGGCAUGAAUUCUACUCAAGUGGCCUGCCCCUCAGCAGAAGUUGGACAGGUGCUUAUGUUGCAAUUAACAAAAAGGAUACAUGCUGGGUCCUGCAGUAAAUGUCUCCCUUGGAUCAUGAAGUCUUUUUACCAUGUUACUGGAACACAGAAGAUGAACAAACUGAAGCUAAAGAGAAGUAUUAUGUGUGCAAUGGCAUACAACCAUCUGAAAUGGAAAAAUAGAUUGUGUUCCUAUGAGCUUCCAUAAUACCAUGUGACUUCUCUGACAUAUGGAGGGUUUUGAGCCUGGGAAUGAGGCAUUGUCUGGUACUAUUGAGAACCAACUAACUUGGAGCCGUGUAUGAGCCACUGGGAAUAGACUAAAUGAGAUAAUCAACGUCUUGAUCUCAUAUUCUUUCAUUCUACAGAAGGAAGCAGGCAACAGGUUGCAAUACGAAGUGGAGUUAAAGCAACUAGAAGGAAGUGUCAGUAACCAAGCUGAGAGAGGCUGGAAGGAAAACAAUUCAUGCAGCAGAAAAGAAAGCCUUUUGAGCACUGUGAUGUCAGAAGGUGACUUGGAAGAUGAUCUAAAUGUUAAACUGGCAGUGAAGAGUGCCACAUCAUUGUUAUUCCCCCAAGAUCCUGGAUUCCAGACAGCCCAGUGGAGCACCAUAGAAAGAACUUUCAGGAAGCAGAGAAUGGUUCAGGGAUUCUGAUUUUCCUGAACUUCCUCCUCCCUAUCCACCUCCAAUUAGGAAAAAAGAAGAAAAAAAAGAUUAAACACGUCCAGAAUGUUAAAAAUCCAGUAGGGAUUUUAAAUGUUCACUAUUACAGCACAUACAUUUAUACACAAGGAGGUCUGAAGGCUUUCUGGUUUCAAUUAAGAUUAUUAUCUCCUUUGAGUGAUGGUUUCUCCUUUUUUCCCCCAGAAUUCCCUUUGGCUGAUCUAUUUUAAAAGAGUAUGAGCUAGGGAUAACUAGGCUUAUUUGUAUUGAGUCUACUUUCCCCUCCAGGUCUCUUUGUCUUAAAUUCUGAAGUCCCUUUUCCUAUCCUGCUAAAGGUUAGCAGCUUGAAAUCAAGGACAUGAGUCAUUGUUACUUUUCAUGUGGAAGAUAAGCUCUGUGGCUUUUAUAGCAAAAAGUAUAUACAAUUCUAAAAUUAAAGUGCAAGUCAGAAAGGCCAUUGGGGCUGUGAAAAGUCCUUAUCUAAAUCAGAAGACCAAGGUCAAGUUUGUAUCAUGCCUAUUAGUACAUGGGUUUCAUUGGUUAAGUUACCAAACCUCUGAGCCUCAGUUUCCUUAUCAGUCAAAUGAGUGCAAUAAUUCCCGCCCUAUCAUCUGACAAAUUAUUGAGAAAUUCUAAUUACAUGCCUAUAAUUUUCAGGUCUUUGUUUUUCAGGUCUUUGUUAAGCAUCAUGCACAUAAACGUUUGUAUUACACUUUCUUUAGCAGUAUUUGAACAUGGUACCUUAUUCAAUGUUCUGAAACAAAUCAUGAAUACUUCCUGGUGUGGUGAUAAUAUCUUCAUAAACUUGUGACACCCGAUGGAAUGUGAGUCGGUUUUGUAAUAGCCUUUAAAAACUUCCCUCAAUACAUAAUAAAGAAUGGUAAAAAAUUUUGGUUGAGGAAACUAAUGAUACAUCCAAAAUAACACAUUCAGUUUUCCAGUGAAGAAUAUUCUCAAAGUAAAAUGCUGUUUAGACUUACUUAAAGGUUCUUAAAACAAGUUAUACAAAGGGAUAGUAUUGAAAUCCAUCUUUUAAUAGAUAUAUACUAGUAAUUAUGUUGAAGACCCAGGAAAAUACUAUUAAUAGGUGUGAAAUUUAAAUCACACUAAUUAGUACUUUAAAAUAUUAUUCCUUCACGUUAUUUUAAAGAAGCUUUUCCUACAUGUGUGACCUAUUCUGUCAAACACAGCCAUGAAUAUCUAGUAUACUAAAUUGGUCCUAUUCUGACUCCAAUUUUCAAACACUUUUAACAUAGGACUAUAGAGUUCAUAUUUACAAAGUGUGUGCAUGCCUAUGUGUAUCACUAAUAUGUAGUAUAUGCAUACUAAAUAUGCACAUGGGUAUUUCAAACUCUGUUGGCUUGACUCUAAAUGUUCAGCUAUCGAUGUUAUUCUUGGUAUUUAGAGGUUUUAUUUAUAUAUUUAUCUUUCUUGACUUUCCCACUGGGAGGUGUCUUCUGAUAUUUCAGCCUCUAGCAUCUCAGUCCCAUACAUUCAGCCCUCACUGGGAAGUUUAAUUCCAGGUUACUAAUUUCAGAGCAUCCCAAAGAUGCUGUUUAGCUAGGUAGUGCCUUAAUAUAUCUUAGAAUUAAAAGAAAAUACUUUCUGUCUCUCAGGGCAUUUGAAAGCUCAAACUCUCCUCUUUGAACUUCCCUCUCUCAUUAUAUUGCCAUCACAAAUCUUUGUCCAUCACUAGGUGGUACAACUCCCCCUCCCCUCACCUGCCUCACACACAUAUGACCUACAGUGGAAAACUGAGCUCCAGAUGGUUCAUGGACUUGCCCAAAGUCACCUGUACCAUUGCUGACUUGGAACUUGAAUGUCCAAGCCUUCUAAAUCCUCAUCUGCAUUUUUCACAUUAGAGAAUUUUGAUCUCUGACUUCCAACAGUUAUUUCAGGAGAGGAAAAUGCAUGGCUUCACUAUCCAAUGGACUAAAAAAUUGAGUAAGGGAUAGAACAUAUUUUACACUCCAACUUGAAAACUUGUCGUAAUGAUGCUCUUCCAGCAUGAAGAAAUUAAAAUUGGCCUUCCUCUUCGUUCUCCUGAAUUGUUCACUGUAACUGAGUGGAGAUAUUUUAGGAGGGUUCUUACUGUGGCUUCUGAAGACCUUUUUCAGAAUAAGGUCUUUUUUUCAAAAACACCACACAAAAUACAAUACAAAAAUACAAUACAAAAAUUUUCAAAAAUACAGUAUUAGUUUGAAGCUUGGUAAGUUUUGACUAUUGCCUAUACCUAUGUAACUGCUACCUAAAACAAGAUAUAGAAAUAUUCUAACUUCCCAGAGAGAUUCUUCAUGCCCCUUUCAUUCAGUGUCAUCCCAGACCCCACAAAGGCAAUUCCUUCUGAUGGUAUGUAUGUAUUCUUUAGUGUCUGAUAUUUUUUAGAUUUAUUUAUAUUGUCAUAUGUAUCAGUAGGCCAUUCAUUUUUGUUGUUGAUGAAUAUUUCAUUGUGUGAAUAUGCUGCAAUUUGUUGAUUCAAAUACCUCCUGAUAGUUGUUUUCCGUUUGGGGCUGUUAAGAAUAAGGCUUCCAUAAACUUUCUUGCCUAAGUCUUGCAUGCAUUGAUGUUUUUAUUUCUCUUGCGUACAUAGCUGGGAUUCAAAUUGUUGGCUUAUAGGUUGUAUCUAUGCUUAGUUUAUUUUUAAAAUUGCCAGAGUUUUUGAAGCCUGCCUCUACAAGCAGUGUGUGAGAAGUUUAGCUACUUCAUUACCUCCAAACCAUUUGGUAUUAUCAGUCUUUUUAUUUAUCUCAAUUGGAAAAUAUUAAAUGGCUUUAUAUUAUGGCUUAAAGUUGCAUUUACCUGGUAACUGAGUGCCUUAUCUUGAGCUUCUUGUCUAUUCAUGCAUUUUUUUGGUGAUUAUGUGUUUAAGUCUUUUGCCCAUUUAAAAUUGGAUUUUUUUUGUUAUGGCUUUAUAGGAAUACAUCAUGUAUUCUGCAUAUAAUUUAUUUAUCCAAUAUUAUAUAUUGAAAAACUUUUCUUCUUGUCUGUAAUUUGCCAGUUUAUUUUGUUAAUGGUGCUUUUUAAUGAGUGUAUCUUUUUAAUUUUGAUGAAGUCUUAUCCUAUUUGUCUUUUAUGAUUAGUGAUUUUUAUUUGUCUAUUUUUGUCUGACCCAAGAUUAAAAAGGUACUUCCUAUAUUUUCUUCUAGAAGUUUCAUGGUUCCAGCUUUCCCAUUUCAGACUCUGUAACAUCUCAAGUUAACUUUUGUGCCUGGAAUGAGUUACAGGUCAAUAAUUACAUUGUUUAUUUGAGAAUCUAACACCAUUGUUUGAAAAUAAUAUCCUUACCUCAUUCAUUUGACUUGGCACCUGAAUAAGUCAUCUUUAAUACUGAGAAAUGGUAUUGCUGGUCUUUCAUGCAUUUUCUGAGACAUGUAGAUGACUUCAUGGAUACUUAAAAUAUUAUGGGUCUAUCACUGUGCCUUUGCACAUAAACUUUUUUCUGCCCAAGAUGCCAUUCUUCUUAUUAUUUUGUGUUUACUACCCAAAACACAGCUUAGUAGUCUCAGACACCUUCGUUAAUUUUUCCCAUAUGGUGCAACUAAAUGCCUCUGUUGGGCACAGUGAAUUGCUCUAUCAAAAUAUUUGUCUUAUGACUUGCUAAUUUUCUCUUUACUUGACUUUCUCCCCAAGCAGACAGUGAUUUACUUGAAAACAGGUCUGCUUUUUUAUCUCUGUAUCUUUAUUACUCAGCACUGUGACAGGAAAAAAAAGAUAGCCACUCAAUUUAUGAUUUUAAUCAAAUUUGAUGGUCCUGAUAUUCCACAGGAGCAAUGUAAGAUAGUAAAAGAAAUCCAUAUACUUUGGAAGGAUAUAAUUUUGAUUUCAAAUAUUGGUUCUGCUACUCACUAGCUGUUUGAAUUGAGGCAAGUUAUUUAAUUUCAAAAUCUUAGUGUAUUAAUCUAUAAUAUGAAGCUGUGUAGAACUUCAUUUGGAAUAUUUACAAUAAAUAAAAGAAAUAGUGUCCAGUACAUACAGUGUAUAGUAGCUGCUAAAUAAAUGGAGUGAGUGUAUUAUUAUUUUAGCAUUAAAAGGGCAAAUGAAAGGCUUGUGUUGAGCUCACUAAUUACCUGCUAUGGUAUCCAGGGACUCUUAAUGACUAAGUAUAAAAUGCCAUGUUAUCUUCUUUUCAUAAACACACAGAGUAACAAUUUGGGUGCAGUAUUCAAGGUAUUGCUUCACAUAGAAUCUGUUCUUUAUCUGUCAAAUCACAACAAAAGCACUGAACCCUAGCAGACAUCAAUUCUUGGAAUCAUAAUAUUACAUCACUGUGGAAAUUAGCCAAGUAAGAAUGUACUCCAAAUUUCAAAGUUGUAACUCUAUAGAUGUCUUGGAGACAUGAUAUAUGAAAGAAUAAAACAUGUCAUAGGAACCCCGGAGAUAUGGUUACAGCUCUAAUUCACAUUAACUUCCAAAGAAGGCACUUUAGCUAUUAGGCAGUUCCACUAAAAGUCAUAUUCCUAGGACUACUCCAGAGAAUUUAUCCUGCUUACCACGCUUUCCUUGGGUUAUACAUUUUGGUCCCAUCCAUCCCACUUAUAGGCACUUGAGAAGCUUAGAGAAUUACAGUAUUUUCUCUUGGAAAUGCUUUUAAGUAGCAUUUUAAAUACAUGAUUUUCCAACAUCCCUCCCACUUAUGGCACCCAUAUAGUACCCAGUGUACAUAUCAUUUCCCUGCUGAUUGGCUUUCAUGUGUUCCAAAUGCUUUUCUAAAUUGACCUGAUACCUAUUAAACCUGAAGUGGACUUUUAAGAUCUGAAGAACAUUUAAUCAAUGGGACAUUAAAGUAAAUAAAUCAUAGCUGAGAGGAGUUCCUUCAAAUGAUAUAAUCUUUAAUGAGCAUUGCACUUGAUUUAAUAAUUUAUUAAAUAUAUAAAAAAUGAUUGGUAAAUUGAACACUUGUCUCAGAGCAAGC
rnacentral:lncRNA from 10 species